AGAAAAAAAUUAAUAAUUUAUUACAGAUUAUUCUACAGAAAAUGCAAUAAAUGGGAAGAUUUGAGGGGAGACGAAGAGAAGAGAAUGAGGGAGAGAUACAAGAAGGAGUCUGACUUUAAAUAUCUGAAUUUUAAAUAUCGCUCAUACAAAACUCCAAUAAACACAAUGGAGGAAUAUCGACAAAUUGAAAGAAAGGCAGAAGGAAUUGAAAAAUGAAGAAGAAAAACGGACCAAAUGUGAGGAAUAGAAAAUAUCAUGAAUAGAAUCUCUGCAAAUGAAAAAUUCAAUCAACACCCUCAAAGGUAAUAUGAAAAAAUAUAUUCUACUCUUAACUCAAUAAUAUUAUACCAGUAUUCUUGAAAUAGCUAAUUUUCCUUGUUGCAGAUUUUAUUAUGAAUGCUGUGAAAACGAAUUUAAAUCUCAAAUCAACAUUUCAAAGGUAACUUUAUCUGUUGAAGUAGAAAUUAUUUUAAAAAUUCAAUUCAAAUUCAAAUAUUCUCUAACAUUACAUUUUCUUAUAUCAGUUACACAUUGUGUUAUAGGACCAUUGACAAAUUGAAAGAAAAGCAGAAGGAAUGGAAAAAUGAAGAAGAAAAAACGGGCCAAACGUGAGAAAUAGAAAAUAUCAUGAAUAGAAUUAUUGCAAAUUAAAAACACCCUCAAAGAUUUUGCUAUGAAUGCUGUGAAAACGUUAAAAAACGAGUAUAACAAAGAAAAUGGAGAAAAGACAUCUAUGAAAAAUCUCCACUUAUUUGAGUCUUGAAUCAACACCUCUAAGAUUGUGUUCUAGGAUCAAGAUGGUAUCAGGACUAAGGAAGGCUUAGAAAGUUGAAGAUAAAUGUAUAUAUGAUGAAGUUUAGGUCAAGGACAUCUGAAUAAAUUUUUGCCAAUCGAAUAAUACUCAAGUCAACACCCUGAGGAGUACCCUAUCAACAUCAACAGACUGAAUCAAACAUGUGUAGAUAGUGCAUGGAAUCAACUUAGCAGAAAUGAGCUACAGUGAGUCGGGUGGCGCCGAUGAUACCCCUGUCAUUGAGCAGUUAAUACAGCGCUAGC